AGGUGAUGUCACUUUUUUGCCUUAGCUCUGCCUUCAAAAGGCACUAUUACAAAUUACUUGGACUAUUACCAAGGAGAUGUGACACAUUUUUGUUGCCUGGGACCUGCCAAAUAAGAAGAUUGUGACAUAUCACUUGACCCAGCAUCUAGGUAAGACUGUGACAUAUAUCUUGGUCCAACUAACAGUUGCAAUAACGACUCUCAUGCCACACAUCAGCCAAUAGAAAGGAUACUGUCAGUUUUAGCUGGGAUUAGAGAAAAGGGUUCUGCCUGCAGGAAAGGUUGUGAUGUGUCUCUGGACCCAACGGAAAGAUUAUGACACAUCACUGGACCCCGCGACAAGGUGGUGAGGCUCUUUUGACUGAGUCUUGAAUACGUAGAUCAUUGUGACAUAUUGCUGAGCCCUCACAGAAGAUUGUGACAUAUAUCUGGCCCCAAACCAAGGUGUGAUUGUGACAUACGCCUCAGCCAAACACCUGAUUUGACUCUCCUGCCUGGGCUUCGUUCACAAGUAGAAUGGUGAUAUACUGCUGGACCCAGAACCUAGGCGAGAUGACUCUAUUCUCAAGCCUUGGUGCCUCUUACAGGAGGCAUUGUGGCA
rnacentral:lncRNA from 10 species